GUGAGAUCACGUGCUAGAUCAAAAUGGCGGAGUAUCUUCCAGAUCCUUUGAUUCUCGAUAUCCUGAGUCGACUCACCGAUUCCUCCGACAUAGCUCGGUGUCAAGUCGCCUCCAAAACCUUAAACUCUAUCGCCCAAAAUGUUCAACACAUUAAUCUGGUAUGUACGUUGUCUCGCUACCUAAAAUCUCGGUCACCGGAGGGCAGACACCGAGUCACACCGUUCAAGACGAUCUUUAGCAAACUCGUCCAGAAGUCGCGGCGGCUCGAGUCCAUAUCCAUCGGCGUGGACAAGGCGUUGGCGGGAAUCGCGUUCGACGACUUUGAGGACGAGUCUGAUGAUCUUUUCUUGACCGAUAUCGAAUUUGUGAAGGAUUGGUUGCCUAGGGUUUGUGAAGACUUGAGGUUUUUGUCUAUUUCUGACUUUUGGGUUCAAUCUUGUUGGAGAAAGACGGAGGUUUUGGCUUUGAUUUCUUCCUGCUGCCAUAAGCUUCUUGAACUUGAGGUGAGAAAUGCUUGGCUCUCAGUGGAUGGCGUAAAUCCAAUGCUCAGGCUAACUAGUUUAACAUUGGAAUUUAUAAGACUUGAAGAUGAGGACCUAAACAAGGUUAAUGAAUGUUUCCCUUGUCUACAAGAUCUCAAUUUGGUUGGAGUUGGAGGACUUAAAGACCCAAAGAUUCAUAUGUUGCACCUUAAAACAUGUCUAUGGACGGUAUCAAAUGCCCCCCUUUCUCUGUCUAUAGUUGCACCCAACCUAAUUGAACUGAAACUUAAAUGUAUAAAACCAAAACUCCUUGUUCUUGAAACUCCUUUGUUGUCUGAUUUCUAUCUAUCACUUGAAAAAGCGAGUAAUGUUAGAGUUAAAGAGUUUCAGAAUUUGCAGAACCUUCAGCUGGAAUCUUCGAGCUUCUGUUACAUCAUCGAUGCAUUUCCUUUGGGUAAUACAAUUAAGAAGUUAAAGGUGGACUUGUUGAAAUCGACUGAGCCUGAGACAAUCAGAAAGUUUGACCUGGGGGCAUUGUUCAAUGUCUUUCCAAAUGUGAAAUCUCUUACUUUGGGCCCUAGGGCUUGGUCACAAGUGGAGACCUGCUUUUGCAAAGAAGGUUUAGAAAAUCAGACUGGAAUGAAGGAGCUGACAGAAAUUAUGGCACACUUGGUUAUAGAUGAUAUUGAUGUAACAUUGUCUAUCAUAUUCUGCAUUUUGGAUAAAUGCACCAAUUUGUCUUCCGUGGCUUUGUUAAUCUACCGGGAAGUAGAUUCCAGCAUCGCUAAUAAGCUCAUAUCUAGAUGUACAGUUGAUCAUCCAAAAAUUAGAUGGAGAUGGGGCAUGUGGAAGGAAGGAACAGAAGACACCUGGCUUUCUGAUGACAUCUGAUUUUGCAACUCAAUUCUCUGAGAAGAAAAUGAAUGGGGCUUCUUCUGUUAGAGCUGCAUUAUAGGAGUUUGGGAAGAAUUGAAUGGUGUAGUGUUCUGCAAGCCUGAAUAUUUGUUGUGCAUUACAAUUGGUUGAAUUACAGUUUACCCGUUUUUGCAGGGGGGAGGGAAAGAAGAUCGUGCUGGAUUUGAGCUGAGUCGAGUUUAAGUUUGAGUUUGCUCGAAUUUAGCUCGGCUCUAAAGAGUUAAAACUCAAGCUCAAUACGAAGAGUCAAGCUCUUGUUCGAUUCAUUACUUUAGUAAAAUUAAAUUUAAACUAAGUUAUGUUUUCUAAUAACAUGGAAAGGAGUUGAUAUUUGAUAAGAAAUGAAUUGAGAAAGACUAUUUAUAAUAGGUUUGUUGAGUAGUACAUAUUACUUUCAUCUGUGUGGGACAGUAGAAUUGGGUUUAGUGUAUAUUUAUAGGGGUUGGAGUGAAUGAUUGAAUAUGUGCCUUUUCAAUGUGGGCAACAGAGAUUUGAAAAAGUCUCAUAUUGGAAAGACAUAUUCAAAUGCAUACUCUACCCAUUAUAAGUACAGGCUCAAAAUAUUCUAUUGUUCCACCUGUGAUAUGAAGUAAUGAUCCCAUUCAUUAUAGUCUUCUUCAUUUCAUUUUUCUUAGCAAAUAAACUUUUAUACAUGUUUUUUAUUAGAAAACAUAAAUUAAAAACAAUUUCUUAUAAUUAAAAAAUGGAAACUUUUCUCAAACUCAUGAGAAGCUUGAAUAUUUUUAAAACCAUAGAUUGAGCUCGGGUUUGAGCUAAAGCCAUAGCAACUCAUUCUAGGCUUGAUCUGUUGAGCUUGCCCGAAUCCAGCCCUAAGGGUAAAAAGGAAUCAAAGGUUGAGAUAUUAAUUUUUUUAGUCACAUUUUUAGUCGUCAAUAAAUAUCUAGUCACCAUUUUCUUCAACAUAUAUUUUUAGUCAUAUUUAUGUUUGAUUUCUUUUUAAAUAUGAAAGUUAUUUGGUUGGAUGUUUGAUCAGUUAGUCAAUGACUUUUUGCCAAAAAAAAAAAGCAAAAAAUGUGAUUGGUUGGCUGACUAAGGAUCUGGCCAACAACUUUCUUAGCAAAAAAUGGUUGAUUGGUUGGCUAAGUAUUCAAUCAAACAACUUUCAUUUUUAAAGGGAAGUCAAACAUAAAUGUGGGUAUAAAUAUAUACUAAAUAAAAUAAUUACUGGAUAUAUAUAAACGGUUGAAAAUGUGGUUAAAAUAACAAAUGACCCUCUAAAAGGGUCUUGAAUUUCUGAACUUGUAUAUCGUUAUGGAUUCUUAGUUGUUACCUUUCAUGUAUGUAGUCUCAUAGCUUUUUUUUUUAACUUUAAAGAGAGAAUAAUAACUUUUACACAUCAAGUAAUUAUAUUGCUUACAUUUGCUGAGGACUGCGUUUCUUUUUAUUCAAUUAUGUGAAUACAAAUUCAUAAUUUUC